rnacentral:rRNA from 1 species
UACGUAGGGUGCGAGCGUUAAUCGGAAUUACUGGGCGUAAAGCGUGCGCAGGCGGUUGUGCAAGACAGAGGUGAAAUCCCCGGGCUCAACCCGGGAACUGCGUCCGAUACUGGCAGGCUUGAAUUCGGGAGAGGGAUGUGGAAUUCCAGGUGUAGCGGUGAAAUGCGUAGAUAUUUGGAGGAACACCAAUGGCGAAGGCAGCCCCCUGGGUUAACACUGACGCUCAUGCACGAAAGCGUGGGGAGCAAACAGG